CACUUUCAUGUUUUUUCUAUACACAUAUGUACAUGUGUGGGGAGGUCCUUCUGUGCAUAUGUCUCUCUUAUUGGUUAAUGAAUAAAACACUGUUGGCCAAUAUGGAAGCAAGAUAGGCAGGACUAGGUGAGAAGGAGGAUGCUGGGAAAUGUAGUAAGAGAUGAAGUCACCAUGUGAUCGCCAGGAAGAAAGGAUGCACAUGUCCAGUGUCCUCCAUAAGAUAAGUCUUUAUAAAAUGUAUAGAUUAAUGGUUAUGUUUGAUACUUAAGACAGAAAUAGCAUAUAAGAAAUCCUAGUCAUUGGCCAGCAGCAUUGUACCUAAUAUAAGUCUCUGUGUGUUAUUUUGGGGCCCUAACAUGGCGGCGGGCGGAACUCAGGAGGCUGGCGGAAAGAGUUAUCGUUACAAAAUGGCGCCCACGUAGUUUUAUGAACUUCCACAUUAAAACUUGACAAAAUCUUAAAAGGGGAUUUUAGAAGCAAAAGAACAGAGACAAGCAUGACUUCUUGGUAGCAGCAUUUUCUCUGGUGGUCUCUAUUUUGCUAGAGACAAACGAGAAUAGAGUGGCUCCCUUAAGGGGGGUUUUCUGACUCAGCAUAAGCAGAAAAAACCACAGGGCUCUUUAAGAGGCCCUGCUCACAAUUGAAUAGUGGUGUACGAGCAGCUGGCAAUGGCAGUGACUGCAGAAUGCUACUUGAUGGUAGCAUAGACCAAGGCAGUGAGCACAGCACUCAGUCCUGGCGGUAAAUGUACCCCCUCCAUCUUGCAAAGACAGGGGCUUUGUUGUUUAGCAGAUAAAAGACUUCAUGGCCACAAAAAGGGAAAGAUUUACAGUAAAGACAGAUUCAGAUGAAGAAAAACCUCUAAAGGUUUACAAUGUGUUUAAAAAUAUACGUAGGCUUGUGAGAGAAAAAGAAACUGGAUAAAGUGUUUAAAAAAACAAAGAAGAAGAAAUAGAGUAGCUAGGUGUGGUGGCACAUGCCUUUAAUCCCAGCACUCAGGAGGCAGAGGCAAGCAGAUCUCUGUGACUUCAAGGCCAGCCUGGUGUCCAGAGUGAGUUCAAGGGCAGCCAAAGUUCCACAGAGAAACCCUGUCUCAUAAAAGGAAAAAAUAAAAGUAAAAGAAAUAGAGUAAUGAAAAGCCACGUAAAGAUGGAAGAUACACAGAGAGUCUGGAUACUGUAUGCUAUUGUGUUGUCUUCGAAUUGUUUAAUUUCUGGGGAAGGAGCAACAACUGCUAAAAGAUAUUUGAUUAUCAAUGCUGCUGAAUUAAUCCAACUUAUACAUUUUAAAAAUGCUUUGACUUCAAAAUUUAAGUCUAAGGACAGGCUACUUGGGAAAAGAAUUUCUGCUUUUGUUUUCACAGAAAAUGAAAAGCUGUGGAUUCCUUCCAGACUAAUAUGGUUUGAUCAAGCAAGACCCCCUGAAGCAGUGGCCCAACUGAUCCUAAAUCCAAAAGAGCUGAGAUGAUGCAGUCAUAGACCACUACAGCCAGGGUUUCUGUGGUUUAUCAUGAUUCCCAUGGAAGAAAGGGGAAUAGGAUAUAGAAGCGAGUACUUUGCAUUAGUAUGGAUUUUCAUCUAUUGAUGCAAAUUUAAGGUCAAUUUUGUGAUAUGUAUAUGUUUCCUCUUGUUUAGGUAUUGUGUUUAUACUGAUCUUUUAAAAUGUAAUGGAUAAUUAAAUGCAGAUUGUAUAUAGGCAGUAUAAUAGUCAAAAUUUAGAGUUAGGUUAGUUAGGUUUUCUAGAUAUACAGAGAUGUAUUUGAGAUGGAUAGAUAUUCUUCAAACUUUUCAAAGACCUACAGAAUAUAUGGCAUUUAAAUGGUUUAGGAUUUUUCAUGGCAGUGAGACACAACUGCUCCUGGUACACCAAUUAUGUCUGAGAGGAUAGAUGAUAGAAUAUUUUCUUUAAAAUCUUGCUAAAUGUUAAUGGACUAAAUAUCAUAACUAUAGUUCUUACUUGAUAACUGUUUUGUUAUGUAUUUUACUAUGUUAAUGUUAAAAGCCUUCUUUAUAUUUAUACAGAAAAGAGGAGAUGAUGGGGGAGGUCCUUCUGUGUAUAUGUCUCUCUUAUUGGUUAAUAAAUAAAACACUGUUGGCCAAUAGGGAAGCAAGAUAGGCAGGAAUAGGAGGGAAAUGUAGUAAGAGAUGAAGUCACCAUGUGAUCGCCAGGAAGAAAGGAUGCACAUGUCCGGCAUCCUCAGUAAGUCUUUAUAAAAUAUAUAGAUGAAUGGUUAUGGUUGAUACCUAGGACAGAGCUCACAUAUAAGAAAUCCUAGUCAUUGACCAGCAGCAUUGUACCUAAUAUAAGUCUCUGUGUGUUAUUUUGAGGCCCUAACGUGGCAGCGGGCAGAACUCAGGCGGCUGGCAGAAAGAGUUAUUGUUACACAUGUGUAUAUAUUUUUAAUAAAAAUAAGAUCAUAUUAUGUUUGCUUUUAACCUAUCCUUCCCACUCUCUCCCUUAGUAAUAUGCUGUCAACGUCUUUGUGCUUUGAUUACUUCCUACAACAGUGACUGUUUUGCUGUCUUGGGUUGUGUCCCUAUUUGAGAAUCUCUAAGAAUCUUCUUAGAGUAUUCCAGAAGUAUACACAGACCCAACAGUUAUGCAUAAGAUUUCAGAAAUUCCCUAAGCCAUGGGCCCUGGCUGACAGCCCUAAUAUUACAAUAUCAC
rnacentral:lncRNA from 1 species